rnacentral:rRNA from 1 species
GACGAACGCUGGCGGCGUGCUUAACACAUGCAAGUCGAACGGUGAACGAGGGAGCUUGCUCCCUCCGGAUCAGUGGCGAACGGGUGAGUAACACGUGAGCAAUCUGCCCCGAACUCUGGGAUAAGCGUUGGAAACGACGUCUAAUACCGGAUACGACGCGGGAGGGCAUCCUCUCCGCGUGGAAAGAACUUCGGUUCGGGAUGAGCUCGCGGCCUAUCAGCUUGUUGGUGGGGUAACGGCUCACCAAGGCGACGACGGGUAGCCGGCCUGAGAGGGUGACCGGCCACACUGGGACUGAGACACGGCCCAGACUCCUACGGGAGGCAGCAGUGGGGAAUAUUGCACAAUGGGCGCAAGCCUGAUGCAGCAACGCCGCGUGAGGGACGACGGCCUUCGGGUUGUAAACCUCUUUUAGCAGGGAAGAAGCGAAAGUGACGGUACCUGCAGAAAAAGCACCGGCUAACUACGUG